ACUCCCUCCAAAAAUACGUCCGUACUUCAUGGGUGCGAAUGCAGCUCAGGAAGAAAUUUCUAAGCUAGCAUUAAAUUCGCAUGCAGGAGCAUCUGUACCACCUGCAAGGUCUGAAAAAUCCUGCCAGAAUGUUGGCAGACUGAAAGGCUGUUUCAAAUGAUCACCACUUGAGAUGAUCAGGAAACGUUCAGCUUGACUGAUGGCAUGAGAGUAGCAGUUCUGCCCUGACAUUGGUUCGGUGAAGGACUGAAGUAGGCUUUUCAUUUUAUGCAUGUGAGGAACGCUGCUGACCUCAGCAGGACUGCGCAUGCCUUCAGAGGACUGGUUUGCUGGUGGCAGGAUUGAGAGGAACAGGAGUGUUCGCGUGCUCCACCUCCAAAAUGGGGGCUCCAUGGUGUGUCUGCUGGGAGCUGCUGCCGUCGCCGCGGCUGAUCCCUUUCGCCUCCGCCAGCCCUGUGGAGGAAAUGUCGAGGAGCGAGGAACAAGUGCAGAUUUGUCUGGUUCAGUGGCUUUGAGACAGCACCUGGCAAUGUAGUGUGGAGACAGACAUGAGCCUUCAAAAAAAGUUGGCUCUGGCCCAUGGAGAGUGCUGGGUCAGAGGGUAGAGGGUCCAAGGGUCCGAGUGGUGGGUACUUUCCUGAACGGAUGUUUCUGGUGUAAGGGGAACGUGGCAGAAAACAGUUUUGUUUUAAAUCACUUAAAGAUAUAUUUUCCGGGGGAAAUAGUUCCAGAGAGUGUUGCCUUCAGAUCGUUUGAAGAGGGGAGGUCUGUCACGCAGGCAGAGGGUGAUGCCGUGUGUUGUUCCUCCCUGGUUUCUGACAGAUUUCUUCCUUUGCCCCGACUCUUGCUGUCCCCCAAUCUUGCUUUUCCCCACCUCUCCCUGCCGAUUCCUUCCUCUUCUGCCACUUCGUUCCAUCCGAUCGAGGCAGGUGGAUUUCUGAACUUUCCAGGAGAAAAUGGCUGCUGGCAGGAGGCCAGGGACCUCCCUCACCUCUGGCUGCACUCAGACCCCAUCAAGUCUGUGGUGGUGGUGGGAGGGGGCCAGGGGGAAGCAGCCAAGUGAAAUGCUUCAAGCUGUGAGGCAUUUUCUGUUUACGUUGCAGGCCAAACCCCUUGGAUUUGGACCAGAAUGGCCACUUUUGUGGA